CCUACGGGCGGCAGCAGUGGGGAAUAUUGCGCAAUGGGCGAAAGCCUGACGCAGCGACGCCGCGUGAGGGAUGAAGGUCUUCGGAUCGUAAACCUCUGUCAGCAGGGAAGAACGGUCACUGUGCUAAUCAGCAGUGAAUUGACGGUACCUGCAAAGGAAGCACCGGCUAACUCCGUGCCAGCAGCCGCGGUAAUACGGAGGGUGCGAGCGUUAAUCGGAAUUAAUGGGCGUAAAGCGCUCGUAGGCGGUAUGUCAAGUCAGGGGUGAAAUCCCCGCGCUCAACGUGGGAACUGCCUUUGAAACUGGGGAACUGGAGUGUGGGAGAGGUAAGCGGAAUUCCAGGUGUAGGGGUGAAAUGCGUAGAUAUCUGGAAGAACAUCAGUGGCGAAGGCAGCUAACUGGCACAUAACUGACGCUGAGGAGCGAAAGCGUGGGUAGCAAACAGGAUUAGAUACCCCGGUAGUC
rnacentral:rRNA from 1 species